GGUGAAGUGGCCGAGAUAAAAGGUCGUAAAUUGUAAAUUUACUUACGGGGUUACCCCUUCACUA
rnacentral:tRNA from 1 species